CUAUCUAUAAAUUACAAAUCUAGAUAUACCAAAAAGCAAAAGCUAGCAUUCUCGUCUAACCUUAAGAUCUUUAUGAAUAAAUUCAAAAGGAAUACUUUCUGACAAACUUUAUCUCUAUUUUUCUAGCCAUCACACUAUCAAUUAAAUUUUCUUAUAUCAUCCUUUUGAAAUUUAACAACUUUAAUUUACGAUGUCAGAAGCAAGAAUUCUUUGAUCAACUUUAUCUUAUCUAUAUCCUUUAGCCAUAACCCACAUAGAGCUAUUUGUUAUACGAAAAAUUAAGCCCUUCAAUACUGUAUUAGCUAAAUCACUACAAAAAACCGACAAUAUUGCGGCGAUUUUAGUCCAUAAUAAGCACUCUAUUAGCGCAAUUGUUAAGUCGCCAUAUUAUGCAGCCGUAAAUUGGCAGUUUAUCAUAUAUUACUGCGGGCAAACCUAAAAUAAGUGUCACUCUAAGUCUCACCAAUUAGAACUUCCCCCAAAUAAAUUCUGUUUUGUGCAGUUUUCCCUCUCCCUUGCCGUUGUAUCAUCAGAUCGCCGUAGCCGGCGAUUCUUUCUUCUAUUCUCGCUUAGGCCAUCGAUUCGGACACGAGAAGGAAUGGCGAAGCUUCUAGUCUAUUCUCGCCGAGGCUAUCGAUUCAAACACGAUGAAGCUCGUAUGGAGUUUGCUUAUCUCCGCAACAACUUUAGUGAUCUCAACUCCCAACUUCAAACGAAGUUUAGCUAGGAGAAUUGAGGGAUGAGUAUCUACAGAAAACUUCUGGAAAAUCACAAAAGUUAUUAGCAUCAGUUGCUCGGACUCUAUCAGCAGGAUCAAAUGAUAUUGAGCAAGUUAAUCCUGAUUGUCUCUCUCGAGUUCCAUUGAGGAAGCACAACAAAUUGGAAGCUGUGGAUUUGAUUUUGGUAUUGCCUGGGUUCAAAAGGCAAGUAGAAAUUAUUCAUUUUAGGAAGUUGUGUCACGUGAUCUAGCAGCCCAAGAAGAUCACUCGAUGGAAGUAACUAUGCGGAUCAUGAGUGUUCAUUGAAUGUAUCUCUAUGAUUUAUUACUGUUUUUUCCCUUAUGUUGAAUUGAUGUAAAAUAUUACUCCAUGAACUUUAAUACAUUUGAUGGUGUAAUUAUGAAGUGCUUAUGGGUUUUAUGUACAACAAAUGAUUUAUUUAAGUAACCGUUCUCUUA